CUUGCUAAUUUCAGAGUCAGCUUCUUCAAGCAAUUUAUUCUCUGGUGGGGGUAGUGGUGAAAUAUUGAUGCCUAGAGCAGGGUUUUUCUCUUCUAGAGUGGGAGCAAUGGAACUUACAAUACUCUUCUCCUCUGGUCCUGAAAACCUGAAUGUAUAACGGAAAAUGAGGUUAACUGGUUUAAAUUAUUCAUCUGAAGGAAACAGCAUAUGCAAAAAUGGCAGACGACUUACCUUUCCAAAUGUAAAAAUUUGGGGUUAAGUUUGGAAACAAAUGCUUUAAGGAGCUAUGGAGUUACAGUGUUCGUUGAUCAAGCUUGCAUAAUCUUGGCCAAAGAUACUUUUGAACUGACUCCAGUACUGGAUACCUACAAAGGAUUGUGA